CAGUAGCCACGGGAAUACGGAGGGUGCAAGCGUUAUCCGGAUUUAUUGGGUUUAAAGGGUCCGUAGGCGGACUUAUAAGUCAGUGGUGAAAGCCUGUCGCUUAACGAUAGAACUGCCAUUGAUACUGUAAGUCUUGAGUAUAUUUGAGGUAGCUGGAAUAAGUAGUGUAGCGGUGAAAUGCAUAGAUAUUACUUAGAACACCAAUUGCGAAGGCAGGUUACCAAGAUAUAACUGACGCUGAGGGACGAAAGCGUGGGUAGCGAACAGGAUUAGAGACCCCAGUAGUCCCUGUCUCUUAUAC
rnacentral:rRNA from 1 species